UUGGAUAAUCCUUUAUAGUUCUCAAGGCACUUGAAAUCCGUUUGAUCUCCUUAGGUCCUCUUAACAAGCUAAACCAUGUUUCCAUACUGCACGUGAAGAAACUGAAGUUUGGAGAGGUUAAGGGACAUCCCAGCUGUUGAGUAGCAAAACGGAAUCCAGUCCAAUAUACUUUUCAUCCUGCCUUCAUAUUGUAACAUACAUAUACCACCAAGUUUAUAAAUAGAGAUUUAGAUGUCAACAGGAUAGAGUGGAAGGCAUGGAAUAUCAAUAAGAUUACCCAGCAAUAAUCUACACAAGUGUAGCCUGAGACGAGGAACAGGCCAAGGAGUAGACAGAAGAAGAGAAGCCUGGAAAGAAGACAGAAGGAGUUGUCAGAGGGGUAGGAGGAGAACAAUUUCUGCAAUGUGGAAGAAACAAAGGGUGUCAGUGCUGCAGAGAUGUCACAGAUGAUGACAAAAGAAUCCACCGAACCUGGCCACAAAGAGGGGAAGAUCAAGGAGCAAUGAGAAUGAGAAAUUUAUUCAUCUGAUUUGGUCCAUUAACGGAAGUCAAUAACUUUCAAUCAAGAAACUUACUAGAAAAAAAAAAUUUGUGGAGAUUUAUGUAACCUUGGAAGAGGCAGGAUCUUUCUUGGCAUUAUCACUAAAAUAGAAGCCUAGAGGAGAAGACUGAUGGAUCUCUAAUUUUAUUCAGGUACCCACGUUCUUCUAAGAAGUCUUGUGAUUUGGGAGGCUAGCCCCAGUCCCCAUCCUAGAGGAUGUGAAACCGAAAACUGCCGCAGUCAUCUUGGACCAUGAAGAGAAGUAGUCUUAGAACGAGGUUGUUACUGAAGAUGGCAAAGUGGAGAGUUGGAAGGCAUUUAGGUCCUUGAUGGCACCAUUAAGCUACCGAUUAUACUACGCCCAGAAACUCCUUAUGUCUUCAUUUUUUGUUGUGAGAUAAUAAAUU